rnacentral:lncRNA from 1 species
CACAAACCAUGUCCUCUCCUUCUUUGUCACCACCCAGACAGACCUACUAGACUUCACCCUCAUGGAUGUCCCACAUGGCAGUGAGCUGCAGAAAGGCCAGAAACAAAAAAAACCCCAAAUUUGAAAGAUUUAAAGGCAAGUCAUCAGGAGCUGGACUGGAGCCCCAAACCAUACAGGCUGUAAGACAGAUCCUGUUGCUCCCAGACCUUGGCUUUCUGAAGACAGUUUCCUGUUUUUCGGUUUCAAAUCACGUUUAGACAUAAAC